GUCCGGAAAACUAAUGUCCUCGAUGUCACCAACGUUGGAGCUUCGGUGGUGGACAAUACCGCAGAUCUCCUUGGUCUUGGAGUGACACUGCAAUUGAUCAGUAAGUAUAUGUUUGUCGCUGCCAAGAACAUCCUCACCUUUGAGUAUUGUACAGGUGCCAAGACAGGAAAGAAGAGCGAUCCCGCAAACCUUGAGAAGUGGUUGUUUUCUGGAGGAUUAUUUGCUACGGACGAUGUCAAGUACUCUGUGAAGUUUUCAGUAGAUCCGGAUUUCGGACUGCCUGGAGCAUUUAUCAUCGCAAAUAGUCAUCCAAGUGAAUUUUACCUUGUCUCUUUGACUGUCGAGAUGCCUGGAGGGGGGAAGAUCGUUGAGUUUCCUUGUUAUUCCUGGGUUUACAAUUCGAACCUCUACAGAACAGAGCGUCUGUUCUUCAGUAAUCAGGUAGGCCCUGCGUGGUAAAGAUCUCUGACUGUUGUAUCCUGACGAAUUCUUUCAGCUCUACUUGCCAAACGAGACACCGACGGGCCUGACAAAUGCUCGGGAGAGUGACUUGAAAGCCCUGCAAGGCGAUGGAACGGGAAUUAGACAAGACUGGGAUCGGAUUUACGACUACGAUACUUACAACGAUCUGGGAAAUCCACUCCUCAACCUGCAAAGACCAACUUUGGGCGGAUCGACUGAUCUUCCUUAUCCCCGCAGGUGUCGCACCGGUCGAAUUAACAUCAAUGGAGGUCUGAAUAAGAAGAAGAAGAAAAAAAAAACUGAUUAGUGAUUUUCCUGUGCAACAGUUGAAACUCUCACCUUGACCCCGUUAAACAAAUUCUACAUACCAAGCGACGAAAGAUUCGGCGCCGUGAAGAACAGUGACUUCCUGGCCGACGGUCUCAAGGCACUGAGUCACAGCGUUCUUCCAACU
rnacentral:lncRNA from 1 species